UUAACGGGGCCGGUCAGAGGGGCGGACGUGGCGGCGCACAGUCCAGCGGAUUCCUACCGGCCUUUCAGAGGCUGUUUGUCGGUUUACAUGCUGCAGCAUGCUUGGAUGAAAGCACAAGGAGUCGUGGUUGUUGCUUCGGAGAUGCCGCCCGCUCGGUGCGUAAAGCUGCGACUCGGUGUUUGGGUGAAGUUUUCAGCAGAACUCCGGAUCAGGGAGGCUGUUUCAGAGGAACUAAGUUUCAGCUCCUCUGCCUGGAUUAAAGCCCUGCUGAUACCACCGUUAUCCUGCUGCUUCUGCACAGCACUGAAAACCAGCAGGACUAGAGAUGUUUAAAGUGCUGCUCCUCACAGAUGCAUUUAAACCUGGAUCACACACACUUCCUCUGAGGAAUCUCCAACAUACCACUUCCCGCUAAGUGAAACUAUCUGGUGUCGUCAGCGGUCGAGGAACGCAGCAGAGCCCAACCCAAGAGGUUAUUUCUGUCCUCCAGCCUCCACCCGUCCAGGCAGCCGGACCUGGCAGCGUUCAGACGGAGCUGCUCCAAAAAGUCAAAGUAUCCAGGUGGAGCAGAGAGGGACACAGAGAUGGACAGAUUCUAUCGUCUGUGAUCUGACUCUCCAUCAGAGCUGUACCACCCAGUUCAUGCUGGAUGGAAACACUUUCUGCUGCCAGGAGACCACUUCAGUCCACUACCACCCCGAGGACCACCCAGUAGAUGUGGAGCUCAUUACUGCACGGUGUUCUGAAGGAUUUACAUCUGCUGUGUUUGUCUUCAUGCAGAUGAUGCUGCAGCAAAGACUGGAGUGUCAGAUGCAAACACAGAAGUGAAUAGACUGCAGCCUGAGAGAAGAAUAGAAGAGUUUAGGUGUGAUGGGCUUCAGCAGGCGGAAGAAAAGUAGCUUCAUAACUUCACACCAAACUGGAUUCUACAACGUUUCUAAACAUGAACUCUGUGGCAGAAGGAAGAAAAAUCUCACUGGUCUGACUGAAAAUGCAACAGAAGAAAUCUGGAAGAGGAAGAUGACAUUGGAUUGUGUAUGAUUUACUAAAACCCACCAAACGAGCCCUGAUGUGGAACCCUAAAGGAGAAAGACGAUUAACAUCCCACUAAACUACUGAUUAAACCACUUUUCAUUCUAAACAUA